AUGCUGCUACUUAAGCAUUUAAAAGUUGGUGACCAGGAAGGGACAAACUUCACUGUCUGGACACCUUGCUCCUGGGGCUGUUACAGCUCAGAAAUCCUGAAACUUCAGAUAAAAACCCAGCAGAAGGUAAGAAUUCUUGUCACAUCAGUCUCUGAAUCUCUCUGCCUACAGAGAACAACGGAAAUGAGAGUGUAAGAGUCCCUUUUUGUUUUCUUAUCUAUUUUUAAAAACUUUUUAAAUUUUAACUCAGUUUCAUUAACAUAGUGUAUUAUUUUCAGGGGUAGAAUUUAGUGAUUCAUCAGUUGCAUAUAAUGCCCAAUGCUCAUUACAUCUUGUGCCCUCCUUAAUGCCUAUCACCCUAUUACCCCAUCCCCUCACCUACCUCCCCUCUAGCAACCCUCAGUUUAUUUCCUAUAGUUAAGAGUCUCUUAUGGUUUGCCUUCCUCUCUGUUUUUAUCUUAUUUUUCCCCUCCCUUCCCCUAUGUUUUAUUUCUUAAAUUCCACAAAGGAGUGAAAUCAUAUGGUAUUUGUCUUUUUCUGACUGACUUAUUUUGCUUAGCAUAAUGCCCUCUAAUGCCAUCCAUGUUGUUGCAAAUGGCAAGAUUUCA
rnacentral:lncRNA from 12 species